GUCUUUAAGAAUUUAAUUUUAAGUCCAAUCUGCCCAAUGAAUUUUUUUAAUGGCUGCAGUUUACUGCACAAAGGUAGCAUAAUAAUUUGUUUUUUAAUUAAAAACUAGAAUGAAAGAUUAAAUGAAAUAUAAACUGUUUCAAUUAAAUAUAUAUUUAAUUUUUUAUUUAAGUAAAAAAACUUAAAUAAAUUUUAAAGACGACAAGACCCUAUAGAAUUUUAUUUAAUUUAUUUUUAAUAAAAAUAAAUUAAAUUUUAUUGGGGUAAUAAAAAAAUUUCAAAAAUUUUUUCUUAAUUAAUCAUUAAUUAAUGAAUUUACUAUAUCUUAAAUCUAAAUUUAAAAAAUUAAUUACCUUAGGGAUAACAGCAUAAUUUUUUUUAAAAGAUCAUAUUUAUAAAAAAGAUUAU
rnacentral:rRNA from 1 species